AUUUAGAAGAGGGGAAGAUACUUCUAGUGAAGAUUAAAAAAAGAUGAAGAAGAGUGAGGUGCUGACCUAGUGAGGGUGUCUUCUGCUGCCCAGUCCACUGGAGCCGCUGAAGAGAGGAGCACGUAGCCCUGACCUGACGCUGACCCUGAUUUUCUCCUCUUCUUGUAAGAAUCCCAUCUUCA